rnacentral:lncRNA from 1 species
AGAUUUGCUCUUCUGUUUAUAGUCUCAACAAAGUGAAUCUUAUAAGCAUUCAAACAUUUUAGCAGUAAUCCUUCAGGUGGUUCUGUGACCAAUGCAUUGUCAUCAAUUUCUUCUGAAUUGUCUCUCAGGAAUGUAGUACACCAGAAGAGGGUGCUGGAUCCCAUGGAGCUGGAGUUACAGGUCAUUUCGAGAUGCCUGAACUGAAUUCUGGGUCCUCUUCAAGAGUCGUAUGCAAUUUUAAUCUUUGAGCCAUCUCUCUAGCCCAAAAGUUUGAAUUGCAUUUCAUGCAUUCAUGCAUGCAUGCAUUCAUUGGGUGGGGAGGCACACAACUCACAGGUCAGUGACAUUCCAUAAGAAAAUGUCUUCAGUGCCUCAAGACUUUAAAGAGGGUCUGGAUCCAGACAAUAUAGUACCUUCACACAAAGGCAUGAAGAUGGUGAUCAGAAGUUCAAGGUUAUCUUCGGCUACAUAGUGAGUUUGGGGCCAGGACUAUAUGAGAAAAGAAGACAGCUGCAGAUCCCACUACACCAUUUAAGGCACAGAAGAAACAGCAGCUAGUCAGCAAGCCUGCAAUAAAACCUUCUCUCUCUUCAGUUACAUUGAGCAAAAAUAGAAAAGCUAUUGAAACAAAGACUAAAGAAAAUUCAAGACCGUGAGCUUCAAGUGUGACUCCUAUGGAUUUCAGUCUUCCUGAUGCUGGACCUGUUAUUCUUGUACUCCUGUAUAUCCAUGAGAGUUUUCUUCCUGUUCUGUCAAGAUAAUUUUGUGCUGAGGAGGAGGAAGUGGAGUUUUCUGUUUGGGAGCUGAAAGCCUGGAUUCUUACAUAUGUACCUUAACAUUGGUGCUGACUGUGCUAUACAAUUAACAUGUACACAGGCUUCUAUCAUCUGUAUUCCCCCAGAAAACAUCACCAAAUACAAGAAAAUUCUAAAUGUAG